rnacentral:rRNA from 1 species
UACGUAGGGUGCGAGCGUUAAUCGGAAUUACUGGGCGUAAAGCGUGCGCAGGCGGCUUGCCAAGUCAGAUGUGAAAGCCCCGGGCUCAACCCGGGAACGGCGUUUGAAACUGGCAGGCUAGAGUUUGGCAGAGGGGGGUGGAAUUCCACGUGUAGCAGUGAAAUGCGUAGAGAUGUGGAGGAACACCGAUGGCGAAGGCAGCGCCCUGGGCCAAAACUGACGCUCAGGCACGAAAGCGUGGGGAGCAAACAGG